GGGAUGUGGUGAGGGCGCAGACGCAUCUUCCAGAGCCGACCUUCCCCCGCGCCCUCCCAAGCUAGGGGUCACGCUGUGUCCCCAGUCCCUUCUGCGUUUAUCCCGUUGGUGGUGUAGGGCAGGGAUCCUGCACCUUUCGAGGUCACUUGGCUUCGGUGAGAAGCUGAUGACGGCUCGGCCCCUCCCAGAGAACUGCUCAUGCUCGCCGCUUUGCCACAUUUUCAAGGCUGCUCUGGUGAGAACCCCUCGGUGACCUCAGGCUUACCUUGAACGGCUUCCGGAAGCUUUAACACCUGAUUAUUAAAGUCGAAGUGGCAAGGAACUCAUCUGUCAGUUUUCCCUCAUGGAAGUGUCUUACGAAACCAUUUUAUAAACCAUAUGCUUGAAAAAGGUCAGAAAACGCAGGUCCCCAAAUGCAGUGCGUGUUCGGUUGUUCAGCAUGUUGCCCUCGGGUUAUUUCACCCCAAGCCCAUCUCUGCAAACUGACCUCCAAGGGCCGGACAGACCCGGACACCCUCCAGCCUUGAGGCAGUCCGCCUGGGAAAUUUCUGAGAAGGGCUCCUUCCAUCCAAACCGUGAAAAUGUGGCGUCUUGGCUUUACGCUUCCACUUGUACCCACCUACAUACGUUUCCUCCUGCUUCAAACUCUGGCCCAGGAUAAUGGAUUACAUGAGGCACCUGUUUUGAGAUGUUCCCGUCAUUCCGUCAACUCCCGUGAUGGAGGCAUAUGGGGAAUAGGCGUGCUGCUGGGGGUAACACGUGCGGAGGCCUGGAUCCGAGAGUCAGUUCAAAAGGACUCCCCCCGUGGUGGACACUCUGUGGGUCUGGAAAAAUAUCCCAGUUGAGAGAAGCCUCCCUCUCUUCUUACUUUGCCGAGAGUUUUCUUUUUUAAUUGAAGUACAGUUGAUGCACAAUAUUAUAUAAGUUAUAGGUGUAAAAUACGGUGAUUCAUGACUUUAAAGGUUGUGGUCUGUAUUCCAACUAUUGUAAUUAUAAAAUUUUGGAGUUGCCAUUGUGGCGCAGUGGAAAUGAAUCAGACUAGGAUCCAUGGGGUUGGCGGCUCCAUCCCUGGCCUCAGUGGGUUAAGCAUCUGGCGUUGCCGUGAGCUGUGGUGCAGGUCACAGAUGCGGCUCAGAUCUGACGUUGUUGUGGCUGUGGUCUAGGCUGGCAGCUGUAGCUCCGAUUAGAUCCCUAGCCUGGGAACCUGCAUAUGCCGCGGGUGUGGCCCUAAAAAAACCAAAUAUAUAUAUUUAUAUAUAUAUAUAAACA
rnacentral:lncRNA from 1 species